GGGGGUAUAGCUCAGCUGGGAGAGCAGCAGACUGAAGGCUAUAUGGUUUCUGAAGGUCCCGCGUUCGAUCCGCGGUACCCCCA